CAAUGCCAAGCCCAUCCAUGAGUCCAAUCCCAAUCAACUUGAAGGACAUGGAGGAGUAAUGGGAAACCUUGUGUUAAUAGCAAAACAAACGGGCCUCAGGGGAGUAUUGAAGCCUAAUCCAGAUUUUUGAGGGGGGAAGUAAGUCCAUUGAAAUGAGUGGAGAAGGCAAUCAGCAGCCAAUUCAAUCACUAAACACGUCUUUCAAGUGUUUCUCAUGGUCAAGCAAUCACAGUUCAAACUCCAAAUUUCCCUCCACCUGAAUAUUCCUUAUCCACGCCAGAGGUCGCCUCCGGCGGCGGUGGAACCCUAACCUUUAAACCAAGCACAUCAUCUUUUUUAUCUCCUCCCACUGAGUAUACAUAUCAUAACUAAAUUCCCUAAUUCCUCCUCAAUCAUCUGAAUUAUAACAGAAAGUGCAUGAACCUUAGGUAUCAAUAAGAGAAAUUAAAUCAUGAACUUAUGGAAUAAAAGCCCUAGAGGUUAGGGCUUUGAUUCCUCUAACCAAACUCUACAUCACUAUAACAAAAACAUAAUAAAAUAGUAAGGAAAAAGGCGACACUCACUACAGCAGACGCGAAGGUCACCAAAAUCAGGUUGUGCAUGAUGUGAAAGGUUUGCUGCAGGAUUUGGCUUGGAAAUUACAGGUCCAUAAGGCUUGAAUUUGGUCUGGUCCAACUGGUUUGUGUUGCUGCAGGAUGCUCAGAAUUUGGGCUUGGAAAAUGAAGUGCAUUGCUUGGAAUUGUGGAGUUUUCACAUUGCUUUUUGUCAUGGAGUUUGAAUGUAUUUGGACUUAUUGUAAUUGGUUUGAAUUGGAUGUAACCAUGUAUGUAGUUUAUGCCAUGAAGGAUAAGGUAUAGGCAUGGUGAUUGUAUGUAAUUUGGUCAAGUGAUUUGUAAAUAUUACAUAUAAUUUAGAUCCAUAUUGUACUUUAAAUGGUUGUUUGUAAUUGAUGUAAUUGGAAUUCGUAAAAUGGUUUGAAAUGUAUUGAAGAGUUCUUUGGAAAUUGAAAUGGUAAUGACUUGUAAAUGGUUUU